rnacentral:lncRNA from 1 species
GGUCAUUCUUUUUGAAAUGAAGAAAGUACAUAUUUAAAAGCUUUAAUAGUUUGGAGCCAGAGGGGAGGAGUCUAGUAAACAACGACAAGUUAAAAUGCAUAUACAUCAGAGUUUCCCCAAGCAAGGGUGAAGGGGAAACAGAGGCUACAUCAUAGUUUGCUUUACAAAACUAACUACAAAAGCCAUAGGGCUAAAAAAAGUGAAGAUGCUAAAUGUCUUAGUAGGAAAAAGGGAUCAGUAGCAGAGGCGGAGCCAGGAUUUCUACUUAGGCGGUUCAAAAUCUGAAGAAAAAAUCAUUGAAGGGGGUUCAACAUCUAUAAUAUAUAUAUAUAAAAAUUAUUUUAACCAUAUAUAAAUAAUAUAAUUUUUCGUCGAAGCGGGUUCAUCUGAACCUCCUUUAAUAAGAUAGCUCCGCCUCUGAUCAAUAGGUAUCCAAAAUUAGAAGAAAAUAAGGAUAAGGAUAUUAGUACAUAGAGUAUUAUUACAGAUCCCCAAGACAGAAACCCUUAGUAAAGAGCAGAGAAGCAUCAGCAAACCCAUCCACCGGAGAACGCAUCUGAGCAAAGAAAAUGAAUGCUUAGCAUAAUAGAAGAGGAAAAUGAUAACUAAGAAAGGAGAGAAAUUACUUCUGAAAGUUGAUUCAGCAGAACAAGAAUGCAAGUAAAGCAUGAUGUUGAUGACCUAAAUGAACAAGAAUUAGAGAGGAAGGUUGGACCGCGACGACAAGAUUUUUUUCACAAAUGAGGAGAGUUAGUGGUAGUUUAGUCUGAGAGAUAAGGAGAUAUAAUCCCGAGAUAACUUUUUAAUAAUCCUUAAUUCUUUGUUUGGUUACA